UGGGGAAUCUUCCGCAAUGGGGCGAAAGCCUGACGGAGCAAUGCCGCGUGAGUGAUGAAGGGAUUCGUUCCGUAAAGCUCUUUUGUUUAUGACGAAUGUGCAUGUUGUGAAUAAUGACGUGUAAUGACGGUAGUAAACGAAUAAGCCACGGCUAACUACGUGCCAGCAGCCGCGGUAAUACGUAGGUGGCGAGCGUUGUCCGGAAUUAUUGGGCGUAAAGAGCAUGUAGGCGGUUUUUUAAGUCCGGAGUGAAAAUGCGGGGCUCAACCCCGUAUGGCUCUGGAUACUGGAAGACUUGAGUGCAGGAGAGGAAAGGGGAAUUCCCAGUGUAGCGGUGAAAUGCGUAGAUAUUGGGAGGAACACCAGUGGCGAAGGCGGCUUGCUGGACGACAACUGACGCU
rnacentral:rRNA from 1 species